rnacentral:rRNA from 1 species
AACGUAGGGGGCAAGCGUUGCCCGGAUUCACUGGGCGUAAAGCGCGUGUAGGCGGUCCGUUAAGUCGGAUGUGAAAUCUCCGGGCUCAACUCGGAAAUUGCAUCCGAUACUGGCGGACUUGAGGACGGUAGAGGUCGGUGGAAUUCCCGGUGUACCGGUGAAAUGGGCAGAUAUCGGGAGGAACACCAGUGGCGAAGGCGGCCGACUGGGCCGAUCCUGACGCUGAGACGCGAAAGCCAGGGGAGCGAACCGG